GAGUUUGAUUCUGGCUCAGGAUGAACGCUGGCGGCGUGCCUAACACAUGCAAGUCGAGCGCGGUUGUGCUUAGUAUUGAGUGUUUUAUUGAUAUAAAACAUUGAAUUCUAUGCACAACUGAGCGGCGGACGGGUGAGUAACGCGUGGGUAACCUGCCCUAUACACAUGGAUAACAUACUGAAAAGUUUACUAAUACAUGAUAAAAUAGUUUUUCGGCAUCGAAGAAUUAUCAAAGUGUUAGCGGUAUAGGAUGGACCCGCGUCUGAUUAGCUAGUUGGUGAGAUAACUGCCCACCAAGGCAACGAUCAGUAGCCGACCUGAGAGGGUGAUCGGCCACAUUGGAACUGAGACACGGUCCAAACUCCUACGGGAGGCAGCAGUGGGGAAUAUUGCACAAUGGGCGCAAGCCUGAUGCAGCAACGCCGCGUGAACGAUGAAGGUCUUCGGAUCGUAAAGUUCUGUUGCAGGGGAAGAUGAUGACG
rnacentral:rRNA from 1 species